rnacentral:rRNA from 1 species
GGGCGUAAAGCGUGCGCAGGCGGUUUUGUAAGACAGUGGUGAAAUCCCCGGGCUCAACCUGGGAACUGCCAUUGUGACUGCAAGGCUAGAGUGCGGCAGAGGGGGAUGGAAUUCCGCGUGUAGCAGUGAAAUGCGUAGAUAUGCGGAGGAACACCGAUGGCGAAGGCAAUCCCCUGGGCCUGCACUGACGCUCAUGCACGAAAGCGUGGGGAGCAAACAGGAUUAGAUACCCUG